GCCCCUGUGGAUGAAAUGGUGCAUCAUCCAUGCCUUGUGUGCACUGUAUGAGAUUGGCGAUACAUAAAUGGAAGGUGGAGGUUCGAAUCCUCUCCGGGGCA